GCCUGGGUGGCUCAGUUGGUUAGGCGUCUGACUUUGGCUCAGGUCAUGAUCUCAUGAUUCGUGAGUUCGAGCCCCAUGUCAGGCU
rnacentral:tRNA from 1 species